rnacentral:rRNA from 1 species
GCAUGCCUACAACUUAGUGUUAAUGAACUGGAUCCCAUUAUACUCCACAGUUAAGCGUGCUUGGUCUAGAGUAGUACUGGGAUGGGUGAUCGCCUGUGAAGUCCUAGUAUUUUACAUGCC